rnacentral:tRNA from 1 species
CAUAAAGGAGCUGAAUGAAACCAAAAUUUCAUGUUCAGCCAAGCUAACGAUGCGGGUUCGAUUCCCGCUACCCGCU